AUGUAAACGACAAUAAUAUUGUUAUUUUCAUAGCUUGUGGACAUUAUUUUACAAAAUGAAGUGAUUUUAAUAGUAAUUUUAAAUUAGAAUAAUAUAUUGUAAGUGCAAUAUUCUUAAAGUUAUGAGUGUCAAACGAAAUAUCGAUGUGUAAAGUCCAUAAAUAUGGAAAAGCCGGCUUCAUUGUACAGUGUGUCUCAAUUUGUGACAAUCUAAUUGUAUACUUUUUUGAAAAAACAGUGUCAAUUAGAAUAUUAACCAAGCAAAUAUGGAAAAGCCGGUUUCAUUCCUACAAUGACCUGUGCACGAUCGAGUUGUAUCUCCUGCAUCUACCACAAAAAUAGGCAAUUGGUCCACGAGAGAAAUGAUUCAUUUGUUUAAAGAGAGGAUAUUAUAUGCUGCCAUCGUAUCUUUAAAUCAUCAAGAAGAAAUAAAUAGUGUUUAACAAACUGGAAGGACAGGAAGGAUGUGGACGAAGAAAAGUGGCCCCAGUAUGUUGCCAUUUUUUUCCAAAUGUAGUUUAUUUUUUUUUAUAUUUUAUUUUUUGCAUGGCACAUAGCUCCCGACCUGUGCAGAAGUGCACGAAACAAACAGGGAUCUCGGGGGUGGUCCAAGAAGAAGCCAAGCUAGGGGCAAUGUUGUCAUUGCUUCAACGUGGGAUCGCCGAUCGUUGAGUCGUUUUUUAAUUUAACCCCUUCCCUGUUUAACACAAUUUUAGAAUCAUUUUCGUUUAUUUAAAUUCAGUUGCAAUAAAUUCAUAAAUUAAAAAUAAAUCUGCUUGGAUAUUAAUUUAAGAAUUUAAUUUUUUUAAUUAUAUUAUUAAAAAUGUUUAAAAACAGGGAAGGAAUUCUGGCAACAUAGUGACAGCAUUGACAAAAAUUUAUUAUUUUGUAGUAUUUUUUUAAGAGUUAUCUAAAAAGCAUGUAAUAUUUUUGAAAAUUUUUCCCUCUCCCAAUUGUUGUAUUCCCUUCACUC